rnacentral:tRNA from 1 species
UCCCUGGAGGGCUGGCGGAUAGGCCACGGUGCUGUCACCGCCACGGCCUGGGUUCGAUUCCCGGCCAGGGAA